GUGUUCCCUUUGCAGUACAUGUAACUUGAACUGGAACAAUACAGGGAAGAUUAGCAUGGCCCUGCACAAGGAUGACAUGCAAAUUCAUGAAUCAUUCCAUAUUAGG
rnacentral:snRNA from 1 species